CUGAAAGCGAGGAUUUGUAAGGUAAUUCCAAGGAGCAUCCCAGAAACACAAAUCACUUUUCAUUUUAACUUCCUUCAGUUAUAUAUGAAGUAGCUCCAUUCUCCUUGCAGACUCCUACCCAAUAUCUUGUAAAGAAAUGCCUGUUCCAUGCUACAGACAGGAACUGGAAAGCACCCCUCACUCUGCUGACCAGCCACACCUCAACAAAUGCUGAGGAAGCUUUCAAAGACAUUUUUUGAUAAGAGCA